rnacentral:lncRNA from 1 species
UAGACAAAAGAUGGAAGAAACCCAAAUCAGUUUUAUCAAAACUGCCAGCUCUCUACCCAAGACAUAAAAAAGGGUCAAAAUACCACUUUGGGCAAAAUUGACACACUCAGCCUUGAAUCACAAAGAAACCCACGUGACUACCUGACUUUGAAAAAGUCAACAAUUUCAACUAGUCACAAGAGAAGUUGAUAGGGAAUUAAUGAAGGCAGAUCAUUACAGAAAGAUUUCUCUGAAACUCUACAGCUAAAAGAUCAGAAUCCCUUUCUAAAUAAUUCUACAUUAAAGCAGGUGAUCUUUUCAAAAGAUAAGCAAACUAC